CCUACGGGAGGCAGCAGUGGGGAAUUUUGGACAAUGGGCGAAAGCCUGAUCCAGCCAUUCCGCGUGCAGGAUGAAGGCCCUCGGGUUGUAAACUGCUUUUGUACAGAACGAAAAGGUUUCUACUAAUACUAGGAGCUCAUGACGGUACUGUAAGAAUAAGCACCGGCUAACUACGUGCCAGCAGCCGCGGUAAUACGUAGGGUGCAAGCGUUAAUCGGAAUUACUGGGCGUAAAGCGUGCGCAGGCGGUUAUAUAAGUCAGAUGUGAAAUCCCCGGGCUCAACCUGGGAACUGCAUUUGAGACUGUAUAGCUAGAGUACGGUAGAGGGGGAUGGAAUUCCGCGUGUAGCAGUGAAAUGCGUAGAUAUGCGGAGGAACACCGAUGGCGAAGGCAAUCCCCUGGACCUGUACUGACGCUCAUGCACGAAAGCGUGGGGAGCAAACAGGAUUAGAUACCCUGGUAGUCCACGCCCUAAACGAUGUCAACUGGUUGUUGGGUCUUAACUGACUCAGUAACGAAGCUAACGCGUGAAGUUGACCGCCUGGGGAGUACGGCCGCAAGGUUGAAACUCAAAUGAAAUUGACGGCUGAGACGNGCGACGACGACGACGAGGGAGGAGG
rnacentral:rRNA from 1 species